rnacentral:rRNA from 1 species
UGCCAGCCGCCGCGGUAAUACGGAGGGUGCAAACGUUGCUCGGAAUCAUUGGGCGUAAAGCGCACGUAGGCGGCCUUGCAAGUUGGGUGUGAAAGCCCUGGGCUCAACCCAGGAAGUGCAUCCAAAACUGCAAAGCUUGAGUUCCAGAGGGGGCCAGAGAAUUCCCGGUGUAGAGGUGAAAUUCGUAGAUAUCGGGAGGAAUACCAGUGGCGAAGGCGCUGGCCUGGAGGGAGACUGACGCUGAGGUGCGAAAGCGUGGGGAGCGAACAGGAUUAGAUA